AAUCAACGCUGGCGGCGCGCUUAACACAUGCAAGUCGAACGAGAAAGGGAGCAAUCCUGAGUAAAGUGGCGCACUGGUGAGUAACACGUGGAUAUCUACCUCUUGGUGGGGAAUAACCUGGGGAAACCUGGGCUAAUACCGCAUAAGUUCGUGAGAAGAAAGGCGCAAGUCGCCGAGAGAGGAGUCCGCGGUCGAUUAGGUAGUUGGCAGGGUAAAAGCCUACCAAGCCGAAGAUCGAUAGCCGGCCUGAGAGGGCACACGGCCACACUGGCACUGAAACACGGGCCAGACUCCUACGGGAGGCAGCAGUGGGGAAUCUUGCACAAUGGGGGAAACCCUGAUGCAGCGACGCCGCGUGAGCGAUGAAGCCCUUCGGGGUGUAAAGCUCUUUCGGCAGGAACGAUAAUGACGGUACCUGCAGAAGAAGCUGCGGCUAACUACGUGCCAGCAGCCGCAGUAACAC
rnacentral:rRNA from 1 species